rnacentral:rRNA from 1 species
AUUGAACGCUGGCGGCAGGCUUAACACAUGCAAGUCGAGCGGAGAUGAGGUGCUUGCACCUUAUCUUAGCGGCGGACGGGUGAGUAAUGCUUAGGAAUCUGCCUAUUAGUGGGGGACAACAUUCCGAAAGGAAUGCUAAUACAGCAUACGUCCUACGGGAGAAAGCAGGGGAUCUUCGGACCUUGCGCUAAUAGAUGAGCUUAAGUCGGAUUAGCUAGGUGGUGGGGUAAAGGCCUACCAAGGCGACGAGCUGUAGCGGGUCUGAGAGGAUGAGCCGCCACAGUGGGACUGGGACACGGCCCAGACUCCUACGGGAGGCAGCAGUGGGGAAUAUUGGACAAGGGGGGGAACCCUGAUCCAGCCAUGCCGCGUGUGUGAAGAAGGCCUUAUGGUUGUAAAGCACUUUAAGCGAGGAGGAGGCUACUGAGACUAAUACUCUUGGAUAGUGGACGUUACUCGCAGAAUAAGCACCGGCUAACUCUGUGCCAGCAGCCGCGGUAACAC